ACUAUUUUUAAUGUUUUACGAAAUGACAAAACAAAAAGGCAUAAAGACUUUAGCUCUGGGGUCUACAAAAUCCCGAUAUAUAAUCUAGAUGAUAAUCGGCCAGAAGUUUAUAUAAGGGCCAUGGCUCAAAAUUUCAGAGACCAUGUUCGGGAACAUAAAGACAACAUCACAAAAGGUAACCUCAAUACUGCUCUAGCACUAAGAGUGUUUGAAAAGAAUGUAGAGAUCUCCUGUCAAAAUGCUCAGGUUACAAAACCGGUCAAUGACCAUAAAAUCCUGCCAAUAACAGAAAAAAUUGAAAUUUUGAAAAAUAGUCAAAACCGAAAUGUCAUUAACAUUAG
rnacentral:lncRNA from 1 species